GUGUCAGCAGCCGCGGUAAGACAGAGGGUGCGAACGUUGCUCGGAAUCACUGGGCGUAAAGCGCGCGUAGGCGGACCGGAAAGUCGGUUGUGAAAUCCCUGGGCUCAACCCAGGAACUGCAUCCGAAACUCCCGGUCUCGAGUGACGGAGAGGAUAGUGGAAUUCCCGGUGUAGAGGUGAAAUUCGUAGAUAUCGGGAGGAACACCAGUGGCGAAGGCGGCUAUCUGGACGUCCACUGACGCUGAGGCGCGAAAGCGUGGGGAGCAAACAGGAUUAGAAACCCCCGUAGUCC
rnacentral:rRNA from 1 species